AAUAAGAAUCAUCACAGUCAACACUGAUCAUCAUCACUGAUCCUCCCACCCAUCUCCCCUCCAAGUCCAACCAGCCAUCAAUAGCAAUGGCAGCUCAUCUCAAUCUUAUCCCAAACAUCCUUCCCCUUCACUUUCCAUCCUUUCUGUCCCACCCCAUAAACAGAAAGAGGAAAAAGGGAACGGAGGAAGGAAGGAAUGGUAAUUAUAAGUAGAACUUGGUGAGCUUCUGUGUUCUUGAAUGGACGAAGAAGAAGAAGGGUGUGCAGAUUGUUACUAACGCUUUGGAGUAUCGUAAUCUGACAACGAGAGAGAGCACGCUAGUCGGCAUCCAUGCGGGGAGACAUGGCUGUGUACAAGCGUGCUCUCUUUCGUUGUCAUACGAUGUGCCUUCCGAGGCAAGAUCCACUAGCUCUUCGGUAUCAUUUCAUCUCAUCAGGUCCGAGUUGUGGCUCUGCAGCUGGAAGGGAGAAAUUGUGGUGUUUCUGCCACUGAAUAAAGCAGUUCGGCCUUUUCCGGUAGCACAACUGUUCCGAAACACUCAAUUUAGAGAAGACUACCCGUUGACUGGGAGUUAUUUGGACUUCCGUGAGUUAGGACAAUUGAACUUCCGUCAGUUUGAAUCUUUUAGACUUUCAUAGGUAAUAACAUUUAUACUUCUGCCAUCUAGGAUUUAAAUGUUUGAACUUCCGUCAGUUUGAAUCUCUGUAGCAUUUAAAUGUUUCCUGGGAAAAGGCUAGGCUGCUAGGAUUUGUAUUUUAGAUACGGUUGCUGUGGUAUUGCUUUCCUUUUUCGAGCUUCGAAUGAUUGCUACCCAAUUGUUCUUAUAGAUUAAUUCUUCAAUUGACAUGUAUUUUUUUUCCCAGUUA